GCAGGUAUAGUUUAAUGAAAAUAUUAGUUUUGUAAACUAGAGAUGGUGCUUGUAGUAUUUAUCUGUU
rnacentral:tRNA from 1 species